rnacentral:rRNA from 1 species
AGUGAACGCUGGCGGUAGGCCUAACACAUGCAAGUCGAACGGCAGCACAGUAAGAGCUUGCUCUUACGGGUGGCGAGUGGCGGACGGGUGAGGAAUACAUCGGAAUCUACUUUUUCGCGGGGGAUAACGUAGGGAAACUUACGCUAAUACCGCAUACGACCUACGGGUGAAAGCAGGGGAUCUUCGGACCUUGCGCGAUUGAAUGAGCCGAUGUCGGAUUAGCUAGUUGGCGGGGUAAAGGCCCACCAAGGCGACGAUCCGUAGCUGGUCUGAGAGGAUGGUCAGCCACACUGGAACUGAGACACGGUCCAGACUCCUACGGGAGGCAGCAGUGGGGAAUAUUGGACAAUGGGCGCAAGCCUGAUCCAGCCAUACCGCGUGGGUGGAGAAGGCCUUCGGGUUGUAAAGCCCUUUUGUUGGGAAAGAAAAGCAGCAGGUUAAUACCCCGCUGUUCUGACGGUACCCAAAGAAUAAGCACCGGCUAACUUCGUG